UGCCCAGUAACGGCGAGUGAAGCGGCAAGAGCUCAAAUUUGAAAUCUGGCCUCCUCCGGGGGUCCGAGUUGUAAUUUGCAGAGGAUGCUUCGGGUGCGGCCCCCGUCUAAGUUCCUUGGAACAGGACGUCAGAGAGGGUGAGAAUCCCGUCUUGGGCGGGCGGCCCGCGCCCGUGUGAAGCUCCUUCGACGAGUCGAGUUGUUUGGGAAUGCAGCUCUAAGCGGGUGGUAAAUUUCAUCUAAAGCUAAAUACUGGCCGGAGACCGAUAGCGCACAAGUAGAGUGAUCGAAAGGUUAAAAGCACCUUGAAAAGGGAGUUAAACAGCACGUGAAAUUGUUGAAAGGGAAGCGCUUGCGGCCAGACUCGGGGGCGGGGUUCAGCGGGCGCUCGUCGCCCGUGCACUCCCCGCGCCCCGGGCCAGCAUCAGUUUCGACGGUCGGUCAAAGGCCUCCGGAAUGUGUCGUCUCUAGGGACGUCUUAUAGCCGGGGGUGCAAUGCGGCCCGUCGGGACUGAGGAACGCGCUUCGGCUCGGAUGCUGGCGUAAUGGCCGUAAGCGGCCCGUCUUGAAACACGGACCAAGGAGUCUAACAUCCACGCGAGUGUUCGGGUGUCAAACCCGUGCGCGCAGUGAAAGCGAACGGAGGUGGGAGCCUUUGGGCGCACCAUCGACCGAUCCUGAAGUCUUCGGAUGGAUUUGAGUAGGAGCGUGGCCGUUGGGACCCGAAAGAUGGUGAACUAUGCCUGAAUAGGGUGAAGCCAGAGGAAACUCUGGUGGAGGCUCGCAGCGGUUCUGACGUGCAAAUCGAUCGUCAAAUUUGGGCAUAGGGCGAAAGACUAAUCG
rnacentral:rRNA from 1 species